rnacentral:rRNA from 1 species
UACGUAGGUGGCAAGCGUUGUCCGGAAUUAUUGGGCGUAAAGCGCGCGCAGGUGGUUUCUUAAGUCUGAUGUGAAAGCCCACGGCUUAACCGUGGAGGGUCAUUGGAAACUGGGGAACUUGAGUGCAGGAGAGAAGAGUGGAAUUCCACGUGUAGCGGUGAAAUGCGUAGAGAUGUGGAGGAACACCAGUGGCGAAGGCGACUCUUUGGUCUGUAACUGACGCUGAGGCGCGAAAGCGUGGGGAGCAAACAGG